CAAUAGCGUAUACUAAUGUUGUUGCAGUUAAAAAGCUCGUAGUUGAACUUCUGGUAGGAGUGUCCCGGCCUUUUUGUUUUUACAAAUUGUAUGCUGUGUGACAUCUCUGGCCAUCCUUCUUCUUUGUUUAAAGAAGGUCUUUCACUGUAAAAAAAUUAGGGUGUUCAAAGCAAAAGUUUCUUUGGAAUAUAUUAGUAUGGGAUGAUAAGAUAGGCUCUAGAUGCUAUUUUGUUGGUUUGCACAUUUAGAGAAUGAUUAACAGGGACAGUUGGGGGUAUUCGUAUUUACAUGUCAGAGGUGAAAUUCUUGGAUUUUGGAAAGACGAACUACUGCGAAAGCAUUUACCAAGGAUGUUUUCAUUAA
rnacentral:rRNA from 1 species